ensembl:lncRNA
CAAAGAAUAAGGUCUUUUUCUGGCUUCGUCAUCCUGUCUUCUUCCUGACAUAGCAGAGACAGGAUUUCUAAUAUUAACUCCCGUAAGUUGCAAAGGAUGAUAAGGAAGUGGGAGGGAGAUGUUUUAAUAGAAAGUGACCUUUCGUUCUGCAUAGUGAAUAGAUCUAAAAGUUAAUUGAGCUCACUGCAUUGCUGUGGUAAUUUGUUGUGGACGUAUUACCAUUAUGAGAUUAACUCUGACAUAAGUGUGUUUAAGAAUGAUCACAGGACAGACUGUAAGGGAGCUUAGAACAUCGAGGAGUGGGUGUAGAGCUUGCACAUUUUUCUCUCCUAUAACCCAUCUGCAAAGCCUGCUGGUAUUUUAUCAAAAUAAUUUGUUAAUGCUAUUGAAAUUCCAUGGGAAAGUUCAAUAUUAUUCAUGUAGAAGUCUGCUGCCUUUCUAAAAAAGCUUUCCCCUCUUGUUACUGGGCCUCCUUGGAAACGAGACUGCAGCCUUAGUGAAUUAUUGCAUAGGCCAGAUAUUCUAAUAUAUGUCUUGGAGAACUCUGCCAUCAAAAACAGCAGAAAAUGGCGUAGAGCCCAGCUGAACAUGGUCGGAAAGUACAAUUGCCAUUUAUUGCUGGCAAACAGCAGGAAGAACAACAAAACAAAAUUUAAACCCAUCAUGACUGUGAAUAUAUGGCCUGCUUUCCAAAGCUGUGCUGAUGUUUUGCUCACAUUCAGACUGUUUAUGAGUGUCUGUAACAUAGCACUUCUCUGUGCUGGGUACGCUGAGAAAGGAAAGGAAGAAACAUUGGCCAGACGAUAGAUGCACCAGAUUAGCGGUGUUGGCUAAACACAGGAUGUUCUUGAGUAAUUCAAACCUUUGAACUUGUGUCACAUUGAGACGCAAAGUGGAUUUGGCUAUUGCAUGUCCUGGCUUGCAAGUCUAUUUUCAAAAUAUUUCCUAAUUCUAUUUGCUGUGCCUGACUGUUUCUACAUCUUUCCCUCCUGAGUCUGGUUCAUGGGAGUUGUGAGGAAUCUGUGAAAAAACCUCGUCUGUUCUUUGUGCCACCCUUUUGCCACUACAGCCCAGCCUUCCAGGCCUGCUGCAAAGGUCAGCCCUGACUUGGCAGAGGAAGAGCAAGGGUCAGAAAACCGGGAUGGGGAAGGACUUAUUGAAGAACACGUGCAACCUGAUGAACCAGCUCCUCUGCAAAGUGGUGAGAGAAGGCUGAGGGCAUGGGACCAUGCAGGUACGCUAUGAAUUCUUCCUCCACCGCAGAAGGAUUGGGAUGCAGAAUUCAUCCUGGGAAGGAAAGUCUGGAAAACUGCUUUAGUGUUUUGUGGACCAUUAAAAAAAAAAAAAAAGGAAAAAAGAGGGAUAUUUGUCAUUGCAGUGAUAAAACUGUGAGCAGCUUGGAGUUCAGUCAUGCCAGGGAGAGAAUAUGAUACUUUACACGAACACGUCAACGUUUGGCAGCAAAAAGAAAACCAGGUGAGGAUAAUAUUCCCAGCCUCAAGAGAUCAUAUUCUUUGGAAAAAUGAUAGGAGAAAAAAACAUCAGGGCUAUUAUCUUCUGUACUUAGAGGAAGACUGACGGAGAAAAUAUCUCCCCGAUCUGCCUGACAGCUGACUGUAUUGCAGGACAAAUUUUCUGUUGGGAAGGAAGUGACCUGUCUUACCCUGUACUGCAAGAUUACAAGAGUCAAAACAGCAAGACUGAAUGGACAGAGAUGGGAUCAGGGCGUCAGAAGCCUCAGUCAUGUGAAACCAACCAAGCAGUGGUGUCUUGAAAAGAAAUAUGUAGUGUCUGUAGCUCUUCAGGAAAUCUCAGCAUGGAUAUCCUGUUUUCUCAACCUGUAAUAAUGAACUGCUCUACCUCAUUUUCACUAUGCACAGGAUAUACAUGACUCCACCAUCUCUGUGUAUUUUGGGUUUUGCUCACUUAUUUUUAAAGUAGAAUAUACACAGUCUCUAAAAAGCAUGAGUCAGUGUCCUCUAUUAAUGUGCUCUUUUACCCUUUCUAAACUGGCAGUUUAUGACAACAGAACCACUUUUUCACUGUAGGAGAGGUAAACCUAUUUUGAAAAUUAUAAUAAGUCUUAGCAGACUUAUUCUACAGCAAAUGUCCCUUUUCAUGUAAUUCUAGUAAUUGAUUUGGCAGACUUUGAAAGAAUAAAAUACAUGUUAAAUUAUUGUCUUAGAGACUACAACAUUUAACUUGAAAGUCAUAUGACAAUUGUCAGGGACUAUGUUUGUAGGCACAGUGAAGGAAGAAUUCCUUUAGGAAAAAUUGAGAUUUUAAUUAUUGACUUCUAGGAAGACAUGAUUAACAAGGGCUUCUCAUCCUCAGUUAUCAAAUCCCAAGUGUCUGCUCCUGUAUCUGCUGUUUCUUAAGUCAAAUCCCCAAACUUCCUUCCAGUUUUCAGCAUAGCCUCAUUAAAUCAACUGUACUUAAACCUUCAGUAGAUUAGAACUUGUUAGGAGAAUGUAGAUGUAACACUUGAUUACCUUUCUAAAGCUGAUGACAAGAAUUGAUUUUUAGAGAUUUGUCACCCCUGGCAUAGCCAACAAUCCACCUCCUCCCUAUCCCCAACUUUCUCAUGCAUGAGGAAUUAACCCAUGCAUUUAGCAGACUUCCAGUAAAUAACCUAUUCUGCUCAUAGGCAAUUGUUGAAGUUUUGCCUCAGAAUAUGAAUGUUCCUAAAAUUUUGCAAUCUACUGAUACCAUAUGUCUUGUAUUAUCUUUAGAAAAGUAUCACCACCAAGAAAAGAGGUUGUACACCAUCACAGCAGGAGGCUUUGUGCUAUGUAAUUAGACCUAAGACAAGACCUAAAUUUUAUUGAGGCCAAGGACAGCUACACCACUGCUGUUUGCACUGGAAUAUUAAAUUAAUAGACAAAAGACCUAAGUAUACUGUUGAAAAACUGGUUAUAAUGGACUUGAUUUAUUUUGUUAAGUAUGCAUACGUUUUCUGCGAUGCAAAGCACACUAAUUCAUCAAGAAAAAUAAGCAAAAACAAUUAAAUUAUUUAAUAAUUAAUUAAAAAAAUAAUCAUUUUACUGAAUCAUCAUAUACCUCAGAUCAAUUUUGUAAUAGUAUAUAACAGCCUAUUAUAGUCGGCCAUGGCUAUUUAACAGUAUUUGCUUCUGCUUCACCACAAGUUAAAAAUUGAACAAACAGAAUAUAAUGUUGUUACUGUACUUUUUUUUGGUUUUUUUGUGGGCAGUUUUUCUAGCCAUUGUAAUUUGCUCUGAAAGUAAUGCCUCCUAUUUAUUUCCAUGGAAAUUACUACAGAUAUGAGGAACUCAAUAGCAUUAUUUAAUAGAGCAAAUUCUUAGCUACAAAACAUUAUUUUUCAACACAGUCACCAUCAUUAGCUGUGCAUUUUCACUAGCAAUGAACAAGAGCCUGCACUGCCUCACUGUGCUCACAUCCACUGUCUGGUGUCCGUAAACCUUCAGCAUGUGUUGAUGAAUGUCAGUGGGAGCCAUUUUCUUUGCAUGGAGGCAUUCAGUUUCACACCUUUUCUUCAUAUGCAUUUCCAUGUCAGACACUAUUUUGUCAGACUGCCCCUCUGCUGCCAUCUGUCACACGGCUACAAAAUGUAACAGAAUAUUGGUGGGGAGGUUCAGCUUCUACUGCCAUACCACCACCAUCUGCCUCUGACAUCUUUCGCCAACAUAAUAAAAUAGGAGGAGUUACUUUUGGAGCAGCUCUCAUUGAAUAUUAUUUUCAAGUAAGUUAGAUGGAGUAGAGUGCUAUCACUCUUUGACUUAUUGGAUGCAAGAUUAAUUAGCAGGUUAAUUUUAACAUUUGGUUACUAUCAAGGCUUUACAUAGCUUAACUCGUCCUUUCAAAAUGAUUUAUUGAUUACUUAUUCACAAGUUGUUUUCUUCGUUCAUCUUCCAAACAUUUACAUUCACCUCAUACGUAGGCUACAAAUGUUUUAUGUGGAUUAUAUGCAUUCACACAGUAUGUGCCCUUGGCAAUGAAAGUUCACUGCAAAUUUAAUCGUUUCUGAGUCACCUAUCCAAUUUCUUCUCUGAAGUUACAGUUGCAAAAUCUUAUUGGUAUUUUAUUUCAUUGUAAAAGCUUCAGAUAGUUACUUGAAUUAUCUGCUUAAUAAAGGAUGCAUUUAAUGAUCCUUUUUUUUUUCUUUUUUUCUCUCGUAAGCACAUUUCAUACUAACGAAUGCUCAAGUUACAUUUGUACAGGAAUUUUCUUCAUCCACUCUUGAAAUUUAGCUACACUGCUAAGAAGACUGCUGAAAAACAUGCAAAAAUAAGAUUAUUCACAUUUGACCAAAAAAGUCUGGAAACAUCCCCUUCUCUGACGAUAUCAUCAUGGCUCUCUAGUGUCUGUGAAUUGCCACCACAACUCUACUUUACAGAAGAUUUUGUCUAUAAAAUAUUCUGUUCUAAGUUUCAUGGAGCUCAAUUUGUCUCAGUUGGAAGAGUGAGAGUAGGGUUGCUAGAGUCUGCCAGUUUUGAACCUACAGUUCAAGGGAAUCCAGGUAUUUCAAACCCAGCUUGGAGCACUAGAACAGCUCCUCCACUUUUUGAAGUGCCAGCUUAAUGAAUCAUUCUCCACAAAAUAGUCGCUUCUGACAUUUCAGCCAAAGCCCUGCUGCUUUUUCAGAGCCUGUAUGCUUUUAUCUUACACACUGGUCUGAGCUGCAAAAAAUGUUCCAGUUUAUCACACAGUGUUCUGUACAGUCACUUAGAAAUAUGCUUGUGCUCGCUGAGUGAAUAUUGAUAAGAUAUCUCGAGACUGCGAUAAAAAUGGGGCAAAGAGAAGAUAUAUUUCAAAUUUGAUAAAUAAAG